CCAGGCUGGGCCGCCGAGCCCAGCCGAGCCCUUCCGAGAAGCCCCCCGGUCGCGGACGCAAGGCGCCGCGCCGCCAGCUGAGGCUGAUAUAUUUUUAUUCAUGGACUCCAAAGAAGAGAGCGGCCACAUCCUCUGCGGUGAAGGCGUCCAGCCUUCCUUUGCACGGGCCCUACGUCUCAACGGGCUCAUCAUGGGGAACCCCUUUCCACGACCUCAGCCGAGCUGACCUCGCCAGAACCGACCGCCACCACCCAACACAACUCUCCGCGCUUGGAACACCCCUGGACUUGGGAUACAUUAAGGUUUCGCCAAGCUUCAAGUCUAGAUUACCUCUACAAAGUGCGAAGUCGAAGCAGUCGAAGGUUCAACUUACGAUAUGUCACCACCAGAACAUCUUCAGGAACUUUUGCAAGUCACCGAGUCCAAUCAGUGUACUUUUGGACGCCACCGUCCAUCACCACCCAACGCAGCACACCCUCUCAUCUCUCCCCGGCCACGGCGACCAGCAUCACCGACACACGGCCACAACACGCAUUGUUUCGGCUCGCCACGCCGCAUCAAGCGCCUGUCUGUCGCCCGCCUGCCAAAAAUGAUACAGUCGGCCUCCCGGGAACUGAGCGGUCUGUUCGGCCGGCUGGCCUGCCGACCCACAGCCGCAGGUUGCGGGUGUGAUGAACGCACUGCGACCGUACUGCUGUCGUCCGGUGACUCGGUCCCCUGGCUCAUCACACGUGCCUGACUGCGUGCUGCGCUAUUUGCUGUACUUCCCGCCACGACACGCCGCUCCUUGUUUGGACCGCGGCGCGGACGGACGCGGGGCGGGGCAAGCUCCAUCAGAGAGAUUGGACGGGAACACGCCGCUCUUCAACCCCAAGCGGAUGCGUCCGUAUUCACCCUCCGCGCAUUCACCACCUUCUGCUCGAAAAGCCCACGCAAUAAAUAAAACAAACGGAUUGUUAUU